rfam:Schistosoma haematobium scaffold1563_28, whole genome shotgun sequence.
AUCUAGCUGACGAGUCCCAAAUAGGACGAAAUGCGCGUCCUGGAU